CCCUCAUGAGGCCCUCCAUCCCUGGGGGAAGACUCCUGGAGGAAAUGCGUAGGCGGGGAUUCCACAGGGACGCAGUGUUCAUGCAGCGCCUGUCUGGUGCCAGUUCUGAAGCACACACUGCAAAGAUUAAGAAGAUGGGUCUCAGCUGAUUGGGAGUAGAGCACAGCAUCUUCAGAGAAGGCCACGGAAGUCCUCCUCAAGGUGUCCAAGUGUCCUCCAAACAUUAGCCACUGUUGUUAUUAAUAAAGGAAUUUAAGACCGAAAAGACCUAUGGAGGAUUCAGGAGUCCAGGGGCCUGUAUUACACAGAAGAGUUAAGAGGGUGAUUCACACACCCGUGAAGAUGAGUCUCCUCCCUCAUCCUCCCCACACUGGGUCCAUAAGAGGUGCUCCUGAGCAGUUUCACCUCAUAACCCACAGGCUUAGAUUUGGUGCUGAGGUAGCCAGGGUCAGCCCUAGUGCAGAGUAGAGCAGCUUAAUUUCAGAUGAAUUUUUCAGUGGCCAUUGCUCACUAGGUGCCUGGACAGGUCAAACCGUUUUCCACUUGUGAACAAGCAUCUCAAAGCCAGUCCCCCCGCAGCUGACUGGCAGGUGUGCUCUGCCGUCUGCUUUUGGAAACAAGCCCUCAAGUGAAUUAUUUAAAGUCAGACAGCCUACUAUUAGCAGACCUAAAGGAGGAACUCCUAGCAAUUAAUUAAAUCCUGAUAUUUAACCCCCUGAGCUGAGCUAGUGCCUGUAGGGCAAAGGUGCUCAAACUUCAGGCUGCGUCGGAAUAACCCUGAGAGCUUGUUAAAAAGCAGACUGCUGGGCCCCAACCCCGGAGUUUCUGGUUCAGUAGGUCUGGGGUGGGCCUGGAAAUGUGCACUUCUAGCAAGUUUCAGGGGCUUCUGCUGACCCUGGAUCAGUGUAUCACACAGGACCGAUAGAUUAUUGUCCCUGAUUAUGGUGAAUAAUAUGGCCCAAAACACUUAAGAAACCUCC
rnacentral:lncRNA from 1 species